GCACUCCUAGCUCAAUUGGAUAGAGCAUCUGACUACGGAUCAGAAGGUUAGGGGUUCGACUCCCUUGGAGUGCACAA
rnacentral:tRNA from 1 species